rnacentral:rRNA from 1 species
AAAAAAUUAUUAUCCUUAAUUUAAAUAAAGUAUUUUUGUUUUUAUUAUUGUUAUAUAAAAAAUUAAAUUUAUUAUAGUUAAUUAGUAUUGUAGAUUAAAUUUAAAAUAGUUUGAUAAUUUAAAUUUUUAAAAGAAAAAUUAAUUUUUGUACCUUGGGUAUCAGGGUUUAUCAAAUAGAUAUUAUGAAUAUAAUUUUCUCGAUUUUAAAAGAGUUAAAAAAUUAUAGAUUUUAUUGUUUAAUAAAUAUUUAAAAUAAUUUUUUUGUAAUGAAACGUUAAUCGUUUUUAAAUAUAUCUAGUUUUUGAAGAAAAAAAUUUAAUUUUAUGUUUUAAAUAUAUCCUAUUAAUUUUUAAGUAGGAUUUUUUAUGACUUAAAUAUCUUAGGGGAUAAGCUUUAAGAUAAAUAUAUAUAAUUUGAUUUUUUAAAAUAAAAUUGUAGGAUUAGAAAUUUUCAUCAAUUUAGUUUGUUAUAAUUAAUUUUUUAAGGAAUAUGAUUUUUAUUGAAUUUAUUUAUUUAUUCAAAUUAAUUAAUUAAUAAUUAAUUAAUUAAAAUAAUGAUAAAAUUAGUAUAAUUUUAUUUAAUAUUAUUUAUAUAAUUUAAGGUAAAUUAAAGGAAUUCGGCAAAAUAUUUCUCGCCUGUUUAUUAAAAACAUGUCUUUUUGAUUUUAAUCUAAAGUCUAACCUGCCCAUUGAAUUUUAAAAGGCCGCAGUAUUUUGACUGUGCGAAGGUAGCAUAAUAAUUAGUUUUUUAAUUGAGAGCUGGAAUGAAUGGUUGAACGAGGAAAUAACUGUCUCUAUUUUAAUAAAUUAGAAUUUUAUUUUUAAGUUAAAAAGCUUAAAUACAUUUAAAAGACGAGAAGACCCUAUAGAGUUUAAUAAGAUGGUUUUUUUAAAAUUUUUAAUAUUUAAUAUUUUAAGAAUUUUGUUUUAUUUUGUUGGGGUGAUGGAAAAAUUUAAUUAACUUUUUUUUUAUUUAAUCACUUAUAAGUGAAUUAUUGAUCCAUUAUUUAUGAUUAUAAGAUUAAAUUACCUUAGGGAUAACAGCGUAAUUUCUUUAAAGAGUUCUAAUCGAAAAAGAAGUUUGCGACCUCGAUGUUGGAUUAAAAUUAAUUUUUGGUGUAGAAGCUAAAAAUUUUAGGUCUGUUCGACCUUUAAAAUUUUACAUGAUCUGAGUUUAAACCGGUGUAAGCCAGGUUGGUUUCUAUCUUUAAAUUAAAAUGAUAUUUUAGUACGAAAGGACCAAAUAUC